GACGAACUGGAGCAAUUCUGCUAAAAGGGAACUGAGCAGGGAGCUUCUCAGCCAUCUUGUGCUGCCAAGGGGUACUGAAUAAUGUCAAGCGAAGUUGGAAGCCAUGGGAUUUUUUUCUGAUCCAGUAGGGAGUUCACAUGCUCGACACUCAACAGUCCGUCUCCAAAGCGUGAUAGCUGGUCAGUUAAGCAAGCAACGAUUCCUUUUCUUUAUUUGUAGUUAGUAUGGUCUACAUUGUUCAGUGUGGUUUUCGGAUAGAACACAUAAUAGAUUUGCUGAUAAAAUGAACUCAUGCAUGCUCUGUGUAUGUAUUUCAUCCGGGGAGAAGAUGCAGAAAAUGCAAUGGACUAUCAAUCUCAUGAUGCAAUUAAUGCGACUUGUGGCAGAGCAUUACCUAAUUUUCUUCUGAAGGAGGAGGGUUUAAUCCAUGGAAGUACCAGAGGUGCGCACCGGCUAACCUCAUGUUCCUUGUGUAUCUCAGUAUAUAAUUGUAUACGCUAGGGAGAUAUUAGUGCUCACAAUGUGCUAGCAUUUUCAAAUGUCAGGAAUCUUGAUAUUUAGGAGGAGCUUAAGAAACUCGUGCAGAUGAGAAUGUUCUGAAAUGUGAACUGUGAAUCUGUGAUCACGCUGAUAACUGGUCAGUUCAUCUACAGCUCCUUUUCAUGUUAUGUUGGAUUUCCAUAUACUUAUGUUUCUUGGUAGCAUUUUCAGUUUGCGAACAUUCAUUUGCUGAUGAAAUGUAGUAAUUAAUAGUGCUCUCUAAAUGCAUUUCAGCUGGGGAGAAGACGUGGGAAAUGCAACGGACUACACCACACGAGAUGCUGCUGCUUCUUAAGCUGCAUAUACGCACUGUCAUGCUGCAAUUGGCCAUCACAUUCAGCUCUCCAAGUUCUGUGCUGAGUGGUGGCCUCUGAUAUGGUGCAAGGUGAACCUGAGAGGGAUCUUCAAAUUUCUCCACCGCGAAUGGUAGAGGAACGCACUGAUCACGGGACUACUCCGCUCCGUACAGAGCAAGUCUUGCUGCCACUAUGUCUGUGCUUGUUUGUAAAUGAAGAAUGGUGAUUGCAUCUUUUGUUAUCCAUUUUCUGCAAAAUUUGAGUUGGUGCAAUAAUGCGCCUGCUAUGUAUGCCCAUUAACUUGCGAUUUUCAUCGGUUUGGGUUUGCCGAUUACAGUUUGUUGGAAAAAGGCCACGCGGCGGCAUACCAAACCCAUAGGUUUUAUUUUGGGAGCAGUA
rnacentral:lncRNA from 1 species